AGUGAACGCUGGCGGUAGGCCUAACACAUGCAAGUCGAACGGCAGCACAGUGAGAGCUUGCUCUUACGGGUGGCGAGUGGCGGACGGGUGAGGAAUACAUCGGAAUCUACUUUUUCGUGGGGGAUAACGUAGGGAAACUUACGCUAAUACCGCAUACGACCUACGGGUGAAAGCAGGGGAUCUUCGGACCUUGCGCGAUUGAAUGAGCCGAUGUCGGAUUAGCUGGUUGGCGGGGUAAAGGCCCACCAAGGCGACGAUCCGUAGCUGGUCUGAGAGGAUGAUCAGCCACACUGGAACUGAGACACGGUCCAGACUCCUACGGGAGGCAGCAGUGGGGAAUAUUGGACAAUGGGCGCAAGCCUGAUCCAGCCAUACCGCGUGGGUGAAGAAGGCCUUCGGGUUGUAAAGCCCUUUUGUUGGGAAAGAAAAGCAGCAGGUUAAUACCCCGCUGUUCUGACGGUACCCAAAGAAUAAGCACCGGCUAACUUCGUG
rnacentral:rRNA from 1 species